CAAAGUUUUGGUCCUAAACUUACUGCUGCUUUUAAUCAAAAUUACACAUGCAAGUAUCAGCACACCAGUGAGGUAUGCCCAAAAUACAAUAAACGGAGCAGGUAUCAGGCACGAAAAUUCAGCCCAAGACACCAAGCAACGCCACACCCACAUGGGCCAUCAGCAGUGAUAAACAUUAAGCAAUAAGCGAACGCACAACUCAAGCUUGACUUAGUUAUGAUUAAUGGGGCCGGUAAACCUCGUGCCAGCCACCGCGGUUAUACGAUGGGGCCCAAAGCAACAGACUAUCGGCGUAAAUCGUGAUAAGAACUACUACCAACAAACUAAAAGCUGAACAAUAUCCUAACCGUAAAACACAGGCUAGAUGAAACCACCCACUUUUAAUAAAAGGUAGUUUGAACCACGAAAACUAAGAAACAAACUAGGAUUAGAUACCCUACUAUGCUUAGUCGUUAAUAUGAUACUACCAUACACAAAGUAUCCGCCAGAAAAUUACGGGCGAAAAGCCUAAAACUCAAAGGACUUGGCGGUGCUCCACACCCGACUUAGAGGAGCCUGUCCUAUAAUCGAUACCCCACGAUAAACCUCACCAUUCAUUGCCAAAACAGCCUAUAUACCGCCGUCGACAACUUACCCCAUGAGGGCAUAACAGUAGGUAAAACAGUUCACCAACUAAAACGUCAGGUCAAGGUGUAGCUUAUAGAAUGGAAGAGAUGGGCUACAUUUUUUAAAAUAAAACACACGGCAUGGAACCGUGAAACCAGUUCCUAAAGGAGGAUUUAAUAGUAAAAUUAACAAGAAAAUUAAUUUUAAACACGCUCUGGAGCGCGCACACACCGCCCGUCACCCUCUUCACUAAACAUUCAACCAUGCAUAAACAACUAACAGUAUAAAGAAGAGGUAAGUCGUAACAUGGUAAGCGCACUGGAAAGUGUGCUUGGAAUAA
rnacentral:ncRNA from 1 species